UACAGAGGUCUCAAGCGUUGUCCGGAUUUACUGGGCGUAAAGAGCGCGCAGGCGGUCGAUCAAGUCGAGUGUGAAAGCCCCCGGCUCAACUGGGGAAGGUCAUUCGAUACUGAUCGACUCGAAGGCAGGAGAGGGUAGUGGAAUUCCCGGUGUAGUGGUGAAAUGCGUAGAUAUCGGGAGGAACACCAGUGGCGAAGGCGACUACCUGGCCUGUUCUUGACGCUGAGGCGCGAAAGCUAGGGGAGCAAACGGGG
rnacentral:rRNA from 1 species